rnacentral:sRNA from 1 species
CAGUAGUAAUGAUUACCACCAUUAUUAUUACCGACAUUACCAAUGUUGGGGCAGGCUGCUGAGCGAAAGAACUUCAAAAAAAGGCCUGUAUCCCGAAAGAUACAGGCCUUUUUUUA